UACGGAGGGUGCAAGCGUUAUUCGGAAUUAUUGGGCGUAAAGCGCGUGCAGGCGGGUAGACAAGUCUGAUGUGAAAGCCCCGGGCUCAACCUGGGAAGUACAUUGGAAACUGUUUAUCUUGAGCGCUGGAGAGGAAGGGGGAAUUCCCGGUGUAGAGGUGAAAUUCGUAGAGAUCGGGAGGAAUACCAGUGGCGAAGGCGCCCUUCUGGACGGCAACUGACGCUGAGACGCGAAAGCGUGGGGAG
rnacentral:rRNA from 1 species